GCCACCGCGGGCCCUGCCCUUGCCCCUGCCCGUGGGCAUCCCCGCCCCGUGUCCGGACCGGACCGGACCAGCCCGGAGAGGGCGAGGAGCCGUCUGAGCAGAGGAGCGGCCCGGGAUGGUGGCCCUGACCGCGCCGGGAGAGCGGGCGUGGGCCCAGCGGCCGGCUGACGGCCUCCCGGAGCGUCCGGAGCAGCGGGCCAGGGAGAGCGGACGGCCCGGAGCGGGGACCCCCGCAGCGUGAUGUGCCCGGGACCCCCGACGCGGAACGCCGGCCCGCCGCCACCCUGAGCGAGUCCCAUGCGCCAGCCGCGGGCGGACCCGUCG